rnacentral:rRNA from 1 species
GUGGGGAAUUUUGGACAAUGGGCGCAAGCCUGAUCCAGCCAUGCCGCGUGAGUGAUGAAGGCCUUCGGGUUGUAAAGCCCUUUUGUUGGGAAAGAAAUCCUGUCGGUUAAUACCUGGCGGGGAUGACGGUACCCAAAGAAUAAGCACCGGCUAACUUCGUGCCAGCAGCCGCGGUAAUACGAAGGGUGCAAGCGUUACUCGGAAUUACUGGGCGUAAAGCGUGCGUAGGUGGUGGUUUAAGUCCGUUGUGAAAGCCCUGGGCUCAACCUGGGAAUUGCAGUGGAUACUGGAUCACUAGAGUGUGGUAGAGGGAUGCGGAAUUUCUGGUGUAGCAGUGAAAUGCGUAGAGAUCAGAAGGAACAUCCGUGGCGAAGGCGGCAUCCUGGGCCAACACUGACACUGAGGCACGAAAGCGUGGGGAGCAAACAGGAUUAGAUACCCUAGUAGUCC